rnacentral:rRNA from 1 species
UUCAGCAUCGACGAAGCUUCAUCCUUGCAGGGUGGGGUGACGGUAGGUGCAGAAGAAGCGCCGGCUAACUACGUGCCAGCAGCCGCGGUAAUACGUAGGGCGCGAGCGUUGUCCGGAAUUAUUGGGCGUAAAGAGCUCGUAGGCGGUCUGUCGCGUCUGUCGUGAAAGCCCACGGCUUAACUGUGGGUCUGCGGUGGAUACGGGCAGGCUAGAGGCAGAUAGGGGAGCAUGGAAUUCCCGGUGUAGCGGUGAAAUGCGCAGAUAUCGGGAGGAACACCGGUGGCGAAGGCGGUGCUCUGGGCCUGUUCUGACGCUGAGGAGCGAAAGCGUGGGGAGCGAACAGGAUUAGAUACCCUGGUAGUCCACGCCGUAAACGUUGGGCGCUAGGUGUGGGGUUCUUCCACGGAUUCCGCGCCGUAGCUAACGCAUUAAGCGCCCCGCCUGGGGAGUACGGCCGCAAGGCUAAAACUCAAAGGAAUUGACGGGGGCCCGCACAAGCGGCGGAGCAUGUUGCUUAAUUCGACGCAACGCGAAGAACCUUACCAAGGCUUGACAUCGCCGGAAAUCCCGCAGAGAUGCGGGGUCCUUUUUGGGCCAGUGACAGGUGGUGCAUGGCUGUC